ACAGUUUCCGAUGCACCACAAACUGAUAUAUAUAAGCUAAAAAUCACAUAUUAUGAUCAUCUUGCUUCAUAAUGUAGAGUUUGAAUGGGAUAAAACGGGUACAAAAGUGAUAAUAUUCCAUAUAAUCUCGAAGAUUCCACUAAAUUUGAGGAGUUGAGGGGGUGGUUGUAAUUACCCAAACAAGAGGGGUGUUUUUGUAAUUUGAUCAUACCUCAGGGGGUGUUUGUAAUUUACCCUAUAUAUAUAUAUAUAUAU
rnacentral:lncRNA from 1 species